GACGAACGCUGGCGGCGUGCUUAACACAUGCAAGUCGAACGGAAAGGCCCUGCUUUUGUGGGGUGCUCGAGUGGCGAACGGGUGAGUAACACGUGAGUAACCUGCCCUUGACUUUGGGAUAACUUCAGGAAACUGGGGCUAAUACCGGAUAGGAGCUCCUGCUGCAUGGUGGGGGUUGGAAAGUUUCGGCGGUUGGGGAUGGACUCGCGGCUUAUCAGCUUGUUGGUGGGGUAGUGGCUUACCAAGGCUUUGACGGAUAGCCGGCCUGAGAGGGUGACCGGCCAAAUUGGGACUGAGAUACGGCACAGACUACUACGGGAGGCAGCAGUGGGGAAUAUUGCACAAUGGGCGGAAGCCUGAUGCAGCAACGCCGCGUGCGGGAUGACGGCCUUCGGGUUGUAAACCGCUUUCGCCUGUGACGAAGCGUGAGUGACGGUAAUGGGUAAAGAAGCACCGGCUAACUACGUG
rnacentral:rRNA from 1 species